rnacentral:rRNA from 1 species
AGCGAACGCUGGCGGCAGGCUUAACACAUGCAAGUCGAGCGCCCCGCAAGGGGAGCGGCCGACGGGAGAGUAACACGUGGGAACAUACCUUUUGGUUCGGAACAACUGAGGGAAACUUCAGCUAAUACCGGAUAAGCCCUUACGGGGAAAGAUUUAUCGCCGAAAGAUUGGCCCGCGUCUGAUUAGCUAGUUGGUGAGGUAACGGCUCACCAAGGCGACGAUCAGUAGCUGGUCUGAGAGGAUGAUCAGCCUCACUGGGACUGAGACACGGCCCAGACUCCUACGGGAGGCAGCAGUGGGGAAUAUUGGACAAUGGGGGCAACCCUGAUCCAGCCAUGCCGCGUGAGUGAUGAAGGCCUUAGGGUUGUAAAGCUCUUUUGCCCGGGAAGAUAAUGACGGUACCGGGAGAAUAAGCCCCGGCUAACUUCGU